CACAUGCAAGUCGAGCGGGCCCUUCGGGGUCAGCGGCGGACGGGUGAGUAACGCGUGGGAACGUGCCUUCUGGUCUGGAAUAACCCUGGGAAACUAGGGCUAAUACCGGAUACGCCCAUUUGGGGAAAGGUUUACUGCCGGAAGAUCGGCCCGCGUCUGAUUAGCUAGUUGGUGGGGUAACGGCCUACCAAGGCGACGAUCAGUAGCUGGUCUGAGAGGAUGAUCAGCCACACUGGGACUGAGACACGGCCCAGACUCCUACGGGAGGCAGCAGUGGGGAAUAUUGGACAAUGGGCGCAAGCCUGAUCCAGUCAUGCCGCGUGAGUGAUGAAGGCCUUAGGGUUGUAAAGCUCUUUUAUCCGGGACGAUAAUGACGGUACCGGAGGAAUAAGCCCCGGCUAACUUCGUGCCAGCAGCCGCGGUAAUACGAAGGGGGCUAGCGUUGCUCGGAAUCACUGGGCGUAAAGGGCGCGUAGGCGGCGUUUUAAGUCGGGGGUGAAAGCCUGUGGCUCAACCACAGAAUGGCCUUCGAUACUGGGACGCUUGAGUAUGGUAGAGGUUGGUGGAACUGCGAGUGUAGAGGUGAAAUUCGUAGAUAUUCGCAAGAACACCGGUGGCGAAGGCGGCCAACUGGACCAUUACUGACGCUGAGGCGCGAAAGCGUGGGGAGCAAACA
rnacentral:rRNA from 1 species